AUUGAACGCUAGCGGGAUGCCUUACACAUGCAAGUCGAACGGAGUGGCGAACGGGUGAGUAAUGUAUCGGAACGUGCCCAGUAGCGGGGGAUAACUACGCGCAAGCGUAGCUAAUUCCUCAUAUUACUGGAGCGGUCGGUAUCGGAUUAGCUAGGUGGUGGGGUAAAGGCUAACCAAGGCCACGAUCCGUAGCUGGUUUGAGAGGACGACCAGCCACACUGGGACUGAGACACGGCCCAGACUCCGACGGUAGGCAGCAGUGGGGACUUGUGGACAAUGGGGGAAACCCUGAUCCAGCCAUCCCGCGUGUGCGAUGAAGGCCUUCGGGUUGUAAAGCACUUUUGGCAGGAAAGCGGUACCUGCAGAAUAAGCACCGGCUAACUACGUGCCAGCCGCCGCGGUAAUUC
rnacentral:rRNA from 1 species